AUUCAAUUCAAUUCAAUUUUAUUUGUAUAGCCCUUAAUCACCAUUACAGUCUCAAAGGGCUUAACAGGCCAAAUAUUUGUUACACCCCCUGCAAUGUUCUUCAUGGAAAGAGGGGUUGAAUCCAAAGGAAUAGCUUUAAAGAGACUUUAUUUGUAUAAAGUAUUUUCGGUAUGGUAAACUGAUGCUCUGAAGUAAAGAGAGAUUGAAGAUGUGUUCUAAGCACGUGCGAGAGUGUUCUCCUAGCUGAUCCUAGCCACAAACCCACGUAUGUCUAAUCGCUGCCGGGAGAGUUCUAUCGUUUUCAUGGCCAGGUGAGCUUCUUAUGGACUCAGCGAGGACCGGAAGACUUGUAGAGGAACCGGUGUGACGUAAUCCUCUGUUUUCCUCGCCUGGUCUGUGAUGCUGCCCUCUGUGGCUAAAGUAUCUAUUUCAGCCUUCAGUAAUGUCCUGCUUUCCCUUGUGGUUAUGUGUAGUAUUUACGGCUUAUAUGUUUGGUCCUACCCCCUAUUGGUUAAGUGAGGGAAAUACAGCUUGUGUUCCUAAAAUACGUAACAGUCCCUCCUUGGUCAUCUUAGAUGACCAUACAAUAAUAUUUUAAAUCAUAUACACCAUUUACCACACCGAAAACAUAGUCAAAGUAGGAUCAAUCAUCAACACCAUCAACCGUCGUGGAAAGACCUCUUGAAGAGAGGGAAAAACCACUACGCGUCCCCAUAAUACUGAGACGGCAUUCACCUUGUGGGUCUCAUUGGAAAUACAGGUCAUUAUUUAACAAUACAACAAUGAACAUAAAUCUUGUUAUCAUACAAUCACAUGGCCAAACAGCACACAAACAAAACUAUCCAUAGAAAUCCUGAGCUAAUACUUUUUGGUUAUGUGCAACAAGGUCAUAAAAUAUUCAACAGGUGCAAAAGUAGCGUAAAAAUUGGUGGUCAUAAUACAAUUUUAAAAUUUCAAAAUGAUUGAUAAGCUAACAUGGAUUUGGGGGGUUCAGGUGAUCUUCGUGUUUGCGCGUCUCGUCGCAGCCCUUUCGCUCUCCUUCAGGGUGAAUUCCCAGGCCGCUGUUGUAAGGCCGGUGGUGAUCUUUACGCCAACAGCCCAAACUCCAACUCGUUCCCACUCCUUUCUGUACUUUUCUUCUCGCAUAGCCCAUGUUUUCUGUUGUUCAGUGGACAACGCUUUGUCCUUCAGGGCGUUUGCCGCCAAAUACCUGGCUACUGCCGCCCUCAUCUGGGCCGGGGUAUCUGGGUCAGGUCUCGCUUCCGUUAGGCGAGGUAGCACAUUGAGCGAGGCCAUGAUGUCUGGAAAGGCGCGUCUGCUGGGGCUAGGCGUGGGUGAGCAGUUGGGGGCCGUUGUCUGGUGUUGCGGCAGGAGUGCUGCAGGCGUUGUUUCGGCCAGCAGGGGGAGGCGUUGAGGGUACUGGAUAGGCGCUGCUGCAAACCAGCAGGGGUAGGCGUAGAGGUAGAUGCCGGUGUUGGUUAGCAGGGGGAGCGUUGAGGCAGGUACCGGGGUUGGCCUGCAGGGGGAGGUUAGGUGGGGGUGGGGGUCGCGGCACAGGGGCUGCGAAGUACUAAGAGUGUUUGGGUUUUUUGGGAUUCACAACUUAUUUAUCGAUAAAGAAACUUUUCUUGAUUUCUAUCUGAACGACAAAAGGCUGUGAUAACCUAUUACCUAUAGCCAACACUUAAAUGACCAAGCACACACUAUUCGCACGUCGUGCUGUGAGUGUACCCGUCAAUAAACAAGUAUUCAAUGGGAUGGGGAUAGGGAUCUGCAACAGGACCUGCGGAGAGGGUGGCGUUAAGGUGGAGAAGUGAAAAAAAAAAUUAAAAAAGGGGUGGGGGGGUUUACUCCAGGGCCUGCGGAGAGAUAAAAAGGGUGGGAAGGGGGUUUACUCCAGGGCCUGCGGAGAGAUGAAUAGAGUGGGAAGGGAGUUUACGAUAGGGUGUGGUUAGGGACAGAAGGGUGGGGAGGGGGGUGAGUUUACGAUAGGAUUUGGGAUACUGGGACAAAAGGAUGGGGACAGGGGGGGGUCUGACGAACGGAUCUAUAGAGACAGGGACAAAAGGGUUGGGGUUAUCAAAAGGAGUUUAUGACCCGAUCUGUAGAGACAGAGACAAAAGGGUUGGGGUUAUCAAAGGAGUUUACGACCGGAUCUGUAGAGACAGAGACAAAAGGGUUGGGGUUAUCAAAGGAGUUUACGACUGGAUCAGUAGAGACAGAGACAGAAGGGUUGGGGUUAUCAAAGGGGUUUUCUAGGGUAUGGGUGAAAAAGUACAACAACUAUUCGAGUUGUUCCAGUCCUACCGGACUGUGCAACCAGGCCACAAGAUGGCACCGGCGCCGAGAGAGAGAGAUCUGCUUUUGCUUAGGUCAGAGGUUAUGCAGUCUUAACAAAAGACUGACCAUUUAUCCCCUACCGACUUGCAGGAGAGAGAGAGAGAUGAGAGAGUGAGUGAGUGAGUGAGUGAGUGAGUGAGUGAGAGGGGGGAGAGAGAGAGAGAGAGAGAGAGAGAGAGAGAGAGAGAGAGAGAGAGAGAGAGAGAGAGAGAGAGAGAGAGAGAGAGAGAGAGAGAGAGAGAGAGAGAGAGAGAGAGGGAGGGAGGGAGGGAGGGAGGGAGAGAGAGAGAUCUGCUUUUGCUUAGGUCAGAGGUUAUGCAGUCUUAACAAAAGACUGACCAUUCAUCCCCUACUGACUUGCUGGAGAGAGAGAGAUGAGAGAGAGUGAGUGAGAGAGAGAGAGAUGGGGGGAGAGGGAGAGGGAGAGAGAGAGAGAGAGAGAGAGAGAGAUCUGCUUUUGCCUAGGUCAGAGGUUAUGCAAACUUAACAAAAGACUGACCAUUCAUUCCCUACCGACUUGCAGGAGAGAGAGAGAGAGACAAGGUGAGUGAGAGAGAGAGAGAGAGAGAGAGAGAGAGAGAGAGAGAGAGAGAGAGAGAGAGAGAGAGAGAGAGAGAGAGAAAGAGAGAGAGAGAGAGACAAGGUGAGAGAGAGAGAGGGAGAGAGGGAGAGAGGGAGAGAGGGAGGGAGGGAGGGAGGGGGAGAGGGGGAGAGGGAGGGAGGGGGAGAGGGAGAGGGAGAGGGGGAGAGAGAGAGGGGGAGGGAGAGAGAGAGGGGGGGGAGGGAGAGAGGGAAAGAGAGAGAGAGAGAGAGGAUGUAACACUUAAGUUGAGGCCCCCUGUUGCUCUUGAGCAAUGGCGUUUGUUUCAGAAAGGGCUUUGACUACAAAGACUGUGGAGGUACGAACAAAGGAAACGCACGUUUCCAAGACGCGUUGUCCCUUUAAAUCGUACACCACGUGGUACAUCCAAAAUGCUGCAGAAACAAACUAGUUUUGGAUCUCUAUAAGAAGUAUGAGAUUCCUGCAAGUUUGUCCCCACGGCGGGUUAGCGAGGCACUUGAUAGCAGAUGGGUUAUACUGCGUAAGUCUACCUCUACGGCUGCGUUCUAUACUAACCAAAAUUUCACAUUAGAUGUUACAUGAACCGGG
ensembl:lncRNA